CUACGGGAGGCACCAGUCGAGAAUCUUCCGCAAUGGACGAAAGUCUGACGGAGCGACGCCGCGUGCGGGAUGAAGGCCUUCGGGUUGUAAACCGCUGUCAGUGGGGAGGAAAUGCAUCAGGGUUCUCCCUGGUGUUUGACCGAUCCGCAGAGGAAGCGCAGGCUAAGUUCGUGCCAGCAGCCGCGGGUAACACGAACUGCGCGAACGUUAUUCGGAAUCACUGGGCUUAAAGAGUUCGUAGGCGGCCUUUCAAGUCGGGUGUGAAAUCCCUCGGCUCAACCGAGGAAUUGCGCCUGAUACUGUUGGGCUUGAGGGGGAUAGGGGUGAGCGGAACUGAUGGUGGAGCGGUGAAAUGCGUUGAUAUCAUCAGGAACACCGGUGGCGAAGGCGGCUCACUGGAUCUCUUCUGACGCUGAGGAACGAAAGCUAGGGGAGCGAACGGGAUUAGAUACCCUAGUAGUC
rnacentral:rRNA from 1 species